GGAGGUGUGGCCGAGUGGUUUAAGGCAACGGUCUUGAAAACCGUCGAUGGGGAGACCUAUCCUAGAGUUCGAAUCUCUACACCUCCGCCA
rnacentral:tRNA from 16 species